AUUGAACGCUGGCGGCGUGCUUAACACAUGCAAGUCGAGCGAGAAAGCUCUCUUCGGAGAGUGAGUAGAGCGGCGCACGGGUGAGUAACGCGUGGAUGAUCUACCCUGAAGAUCGGGAUAACAGUUGGAAACGACUGCUAAUACCGUAUAAUCUACAUAUUUAACUUUAUGUGGGAAAGGUGGCCUCUAUUUAUAAGCUACCACUUUUGGAUGAGUCCGCGUCUCAUUAGCUUGUUGGUGGGGUAAUGGCCUACCAAGGCAACGAUGAGUAGCUGGUCUGAGAGGAUGAUCAGCCACACUGGGACUGAAACACGGCCCAG
rnacentral:rRNA from 1 species